AAGGGAGUGAUCUCGGUCGAAAUCAGCACCUGCACUCGGCAGAAAUCACAACUACUAAGGCAGCUGACACAGCUAUCUCAUUUCAAAGUGAAAGGACCCAGAAGUAGCAAAUUUGAAGUUGCUGAAGCUGAGCAAGUGUAUUGGAAGAGGUGGCUUUGGAACUAUCCACCUUGCAACAUAUGCUGGUACAUCUGUUGCAGUAAAAAAGAUCAAUAUUACAGGUGAAGAGGAGAAAGCAACUGCAUUACGGGACAUUACAGCACUAUUGCAUCUUCGUCAUCCCAAUAUCGUGAUGCUAAUGGGAUACCAUGUAAGUGAGCACAACAUUCUGCUUAUAAUGAACUAUAUUCAGUCUGGGAGUCUGCAUGAUAUACUCCAUGUAAG